rnacentral:tRNA from 1 species
GGAGAGAUGUCAGAGUGGUCGAAUGAGCUCGCCUGGAAAGUGAGUAAAUGGCUAAUACCAUUUCAAGGGUUCGAAUCCCUUUCUCUCCGCCA